rnacentral:rRNA from 1 species
AUGCACGCUGGCGGCGUGCCUAAUACAUGCAAGUCGAGCGAACGGACGAGAAGCUUGCUUCUCUGAUGUUAUCGGCGGACGGGUGAGUAACACGUGGAUAACCUACCUAUAAGACUGGGAUAACUUCGGGAAACCGGAGCUAAUACCGGAUAAUAUUUUGAACCGCAUGGUUCAAAAGUGAAAGACGGUCUUGCUGUCACUUAUAGAUGGAUCCGCGCUGCAUUAGCUAGUUGGUAAGGUAACGGCUUACCAAGGCAACGAUGCAUAGCCGACCUGAGAGGGUGAUCGGCCACACUGGAACUGAGACACGGUCCAGACUCCUACGGGAGGCAGCAGUAGGGAAUCUUCCGCAAUGGGCGAAAGCCUGACGGAGCAACGCCGCGUGAGUGAUGAAGGUCUUCGGAUCGUAAAACUCUGUUAUUAGGGAAGAACAUAUGUGUAAGUAACUGUGCACAUCUUGACGGUACCUAAUCAGAAAGCCACGGCUAACUACGUG